rnacentral:lncRNA from 1 species
CUUUCUUCCUUUUGGUGCGAGCUUGCUGUGGUUUUUGCUCUGGGUCCUCUGGGAUGGCGCCUGGCUGUGGCCGCGUGGUCUCUCACGCAGGGGCGCCGGGCGGGGGAACGCGGCCACCCUGAGUCUGGUGAGUCGACUGCGGCGGCCUGUGUCCGAAGUGUCCGGGGCCGUGAACAAGGGCAGCGGCCUGGCCUCAGGCCUGCGUUCCCACGUUUGGAAACGGGGAGCUUCGUCGAUUUGUGUUUACAUCAUCGACUAUGCCAGGGAGUUCUCCAGAUAAGCCUGGUUUUAUUUUCGUCAGUGAAAAGGCCUUACCGUAUAACUGACUUUAUGCUUGCCCUGCCCCCGUAUAAAAUAACUUAAAAGCAGCGUGCCUGGUUACAGCUGUUUCCACGUGCGGUGCUCGUCGGGAGUGAUCACCUACCCUACAGGUGGAAGAUGGAUGCCUGAAGUGUAGACUGCUGCUAGCUGAAUACCAUCUGGGAGCAUAAAGGUGACCUGAAGGAUGUCCUUGGUGAGGAUUUUGAAAAUUUGAUCUUCACAAGAGUUGCCUGGAUCAUUUGAAAUUUCUGGGAGUCUGAGGAGUACUGACAUAAUUACCUGCUGGAGUCUGUAAAUACACAUUUAAGACAGUGAGGAUGUGAAUAAAUAUAUUAAUGCACUUUGGCAUUUGUGUUUUAAGUGAUUAACUGCCAGAAACAGCUAUUUCUAAAAAGUUAUAAGGGAGGAGGGGUUCUUUUUUGAUCAGUAUUCACUGCUGUCACCAUAAUUAAUAGCCUUAAAAUAGCUUGUGUUUGGCCCAAAGAGAAAUGUACUUUCUUCCAGUGACUCAAAAAUCGUGGCUAGAACUAGACUGAUUUCUAGUGACAGGUGUGCUUUACUGCACUCAAUGCGUAUUUUUCCUCCAACUAAAUUGUACAUUUAAUGUUGCCAUAUCUUCUGCCUUUGCUUUGCAGGAAACGACAAAUAAUGUAUAGAGGUAUUCAAAAAAUUUAUUGAAAGCACUGUACUAGGAGCUGAGAACACGAUGAUGAGCACAACACAGUUCUUCCCUUUGGAAACAUAGAUAAGUGGAGGGAAUGUCAUCACAAAUGUAAAACUUCACUAUGAGAUGAGUUCCGUGAUAGGAUUUUCUUAGGGAAACCUGAGAAAGAGUUGAGACUAAAGGUAUGUGUCAUAUUUUUCACAAGGCAAAACUGGGGGAAUGACAUAUACAGAGGCUUGGGCUAGAAAAAAGAUACCGUUAGUCCACUUACUUUUGAGACAGUUUUGGCUGCUUUCCCUCUUCAGUGCCCUGUUUUAGAACUGAGUCCUUACUGAGGCUUGUAAGAUGGCUAUUAUGGGAGGUGAGAGUGUUACAAAAUGAGGCUGAAGAGGUAGGUAAAGAAGCCAGACCACUUCAGGCUCCCUCUGGCUUUAUUAAAGCAAGAUAAAUCCAUGGUGGAAAAUCAGAUUUGCAAGAAAAGGUAGUUGAACUAGGUUGCUUAUUGUUGUCUAGACAAGAGACCAGCUUGGACUAGUAAAAUUAGUGAAAUAAGAUCGUUUAUAGUUGGAUGACAGAGCCAACUAGACGUGGUAAUAGUGGAGGUGUCCAUAACUGCUAGGUGUCCAGCUUGCACACUGAUGAGCAUAAUGACCCUAGAUUCAGCUGGGGAGCAGCAUUUAAACAGCUGAAUUUUUAAAUUACCUUUGAGAAACCCAAAUGGUCUUUUUGCAGUAGCACAUUACUCAGUAGUCUAAACUACAGAAAUAAACCUUAAGGCCAUGGGUAUAAAUGAGAUCUGCUGGUGGUAGAGGAAGAGGGCCUAGGGUCUGAAGUUUGAGAAACUCCACUAAUUAAUGGCAAGGUAAAGCAUGAUAAGCCAGAAAGGAUGGUCAGUGGUAGGAGCAAAAUAGGAUUAUAUUAAAGAAGCAAAAGAAUGUCCUAAAAAUUCUCCCUGGGAUUAAGUAACACAGUGAUUGAUAUUAGUGGAGUAGAGGGAAAGAUCCAUGUUAGAGAUAGCUUAAGAUAGGGAUUAGAUGAAUUGAGGGCAAUGACUAAAGAUACUGCUUGCAAGAAAACUGGCUGAGAAUGAGAGGAAAAUCUUAGUUGCUUGGCGGGAGGGGGUUUGUGGUUGUGAAAGAUAGUUUUGUUUAAUCUUAGUCUUAAAUUUAAAACCAAGUAGCAAGGAUCUAGCUGAGAGAAUAAUUGAAUACAUUAAUAUAGGAGGACAGACAAAGAUCCUGAAAAGGCUGGGAGAAGAGCAUCCAAAGCACAGGUGGAGAGACAAAAAGGUUAGGGCUGCUGGCAGCUGUGGAGAGAACUGUACGUGGUAAGGGGGAGAUAUAAGAUGUCCUGCAUAAGUAUUUUCCCUGUAGAUUGCAAAGUCAUCUAUGGAGAGGAAAGGUACAAAAUAGUCACUGGGGAGAGCAGGUGAAUUAGAUGGCCAAGCAGGGUGGAUGGAUCAUUUGAGGUUUGGGGUGACAGAUCAACUGAGAUCCACUUACACUUCUGAAAACGCAAGAACACUUUAGAAAUUAACAACACUUAAAGCUUUUUACAUCAUUUGUAAAUAACUGGUGGAACUUAACACCACAAAAUAAAGUAUUAUAAAGAACUUUAUAUGAAUAAAAAUAUAUGCAGUCUGAAA